CGCCAGAGUACUACGAGCCACAGCUUAAAACUCAAAGGACUUGGCGGCGCCCUAUACCCCCUANAGGAGCCUGUUCUGUAAUCGAUACUCCCCGAUAAACCUCACCACCUCUCGUCAACACAGCCUAUAUACCACCGUCCUCAGCUUACCCCCCAAAGGGAGAAUAGUAAGCAAAAUCAUUUUAAAUAAAAAAGUCAGGUCAAGGUGUACAAAUGGGGUGGAAAGAAAUGGGCUACAUUUUCUAUUUUAGAAUAUACAGAGUGUUUUAUGAAAUAUGGCAUGAAGGAGGAUUUAGAAGUAAAAGGAAAAAAGAGUGUUCUUUUUAAAUCGGCAAUAGAGCGCGCACACACCGCCCGUCACCCUCCUUAUAUACCAAAAAAUUAAAUAAAUAUUAAUACAACAAGAGGAGAUAAGUCGUAACAUGGUAAGCCUACCGGAAGGUGGACUUGGAUAUCAGAAUAUAGCUUAAUUAAAGCAUUUUGCUUACAUCAAAAAAAUAUUUAUUAAAAUAAAUUAUUCUGAGUCUUAAUU
rnacentral:misc_RNA from 1 species